rnacentral:rRNA from 1 species
GAGUUUGAUUAUGGCUCAGAUUGAACGCUGGCGGCAGGCUUAACACAUGCAAGUCGAACGAUGAUUACUAGCUUGCUAGUAUGAUUAGUGGCGAACGGGUGAGUAAUGCUUAGGAAUCUGCCUAUUAGUGGGGGACAACAUUCCGAAAGGAAUGCUAAUACCGCAUACGUCCUAUGGGAGAAAGCAGGGGAUCUUUUGACCUUGCGCUAAUAGAUGAGCCUAAGUCGGAUUAGCUAGUUGGUGGGGUAAAGGCCUACCAAGGCGACGAUCUGUAGCUGGUCUGAGAGGAUGAUCAGCCACACUGGGACUGAGACACGGCCCAGACUCCUACGGGAGGCAGCAGUGGGGAAUAUUGGACAAUGGGCGAAAGCCUGAUCCAGCCAUGCCGCGUGUGUGAAGAAGGCCUUUUGGUUGUAAAGCACUUUAAGUGGGGAGGAAAAGCUAAUAAUUAAUACCUAUCAGCCCUGACGUACCCACAGAAUAAGCACC